rnacentral:lncRNA from 1 species
AUGAGAGCAGGCUUUGACCAUACCCCCAUCCCCGGAGUCUGUAGGGGCACACUGAUUCAAUCACUUGCCCCCAGCCCAGUGCUGAAGCUGGACCCAGGGCUCUGUCGGCUGGGCUGGAUUGUCCCUUCAUCCUCCACCUUCCCUCUGCCGCUCAAUUACAGUCCCUGCAGGACAUGGGGAAGCAGGCAUCAAUCACGGCUGGUUACUCAGGUGACAGCAGCUGUGUCCCCCAGGCUCCCCAGGGAGCAUGGAAACACACAUCACCCUCUGAGCCUGGUAAUGAGUGGGGACGCGGGCCCGCAUGUGCCCUGCCGGCUCCCUGGGGCUGCGGUGCUCGAUGAGCUGCGGCCAGCCCUCCACAGCAGUGCAAAGGGACACAAGACCCCAAUUAAGGCUGCAUCAAUCCUGCUCCAGCUCUGCUUGCUACACUCACAAACAACCCCCCACACACCCCUUGUCCAUGAGCUUUCCCCCAUCCCCGGUGGCCAGAUCAUCAGUCCUCCGCAGGGGUUCCGUGUCACCUCCAUGCUCUCAACACGUUUCCAGCGUGACACCCUCACCCUCCGUGUCACCCCCGUGUCCCGAGGCUGGGUGCGGGGCGGGCAGCGUUGCUGCAGCACCCUGGACAGCGACAUCGCUCCCGGGUGGGCUUGGGGGUCCGGGCUGGGAGUGGUCCCUUGCCCUGGGAAUGCCGGCGGGAGUCUGGGUUGUGGCUGUCCCCGAGGGAGUGGGCGCUGUCCUCGAGGGGAUGCGUUGGGGCAGUACCUGAGGAACUGUGGCUGUCCCCGGGAAGCUCAUGGUGUCCCCACAGGUCUGCGUCUGACCUCGGGGAGGACCCUCAAACAGGAAUCUCUGUCCCGUUGGGUGCCAGGGAAUUUCUGUCCCGUUGGGUGCCAGGGACCAGUCUUAGUGGUUGCCUCCAGCCAGAGUGCCUGUCCCCACAGGAGUCCCCUGUGCCUCUUCAAGCGUACAGAUGGCUGCACACAUCUGGAAGUCCAUGUGUGA